rnacentral:misc_RNA from 1 species
GUUUUGGGCAUGACAGACAAGACUUUUAUGGUUAUCCUAAUGACUCAUUUUCAAGUAAUUACGAGGGGGCAUAUUUGGGACGGGCUGAUUCUUCCGGUUGUUAUUCUGCCUCUGUUUAUGCCCAUUCAAGUUCCUUUAGCGAUUCACGGCAUAGCCAGAGUACGCAGAUUGUGCCUUGGCAGAAUAAUAAAGGAUCUUUGCGGGUUUUCCUUUUACAUGGGGAUUUGGAUAUAUGUGUUUAUGAGGCGAAGAACCUUCCAAACAUGGACAUGUUUCACAAGACACUGGGUGAUAUGUUUGCUAGAUUGCCAGGAAAUAUAGGAAGCAAGAUCGAAGGGCAAAUGAGCCGCAAGAUUACCAGCGAUCCAUACGUUUCAAUUUCAGUAGCUGGUGCUGUAAUUGGGAG